CCCCAUCCUAGAUAAUACAAAAUCCUAUAGCCCCACCCAAGAUAAUACAGUACCCUAUAUCCUCAAUCCCAGAUAAUACAGCACCCUGUAGCCCCCCACCCCUGAUAAUACAGCACAAUAUAUCCCCAACACCACAGAUAAUACAGAACCCUAUAUGCCCCAUGUACGUAUGUAUGUACUACUUGUACUAAAUAAAUAGCU